rnacentral:rRNA from 1 species
AUUGAACGCUGGCGGCAUGCCUUACACAUGCAAGUCGAACGGCAGCACGGGUGCUUGCACCUGGUGGCGAGUGGCGAACGGGCGAGUAAUACAUCGGAACAUGUCCUGUAGUGGGGGAUAGCCCGGCGAAAGCCGGAUUAAUACCGCAUACGAUCUACGGAUGAAAGCGGGGGACCUUCGGGCCUCGCGCUAUAGGGUUGGCCGAUGGCUGAUUAGCUAGUUGGUGGGGUAAAGGCCUACCAAGGCGACGAUCAGUAGCUGGCCUGAGAGGACGACCAGCCACACUGGGACUGAGACACGGCCCAGACUCCUACGGGAGGCAGCAGUGGGGAAUUUUGGACAAUGGGCGAAAGCCUGAUCCAGCAAUGCCGCGUGUGUGAAGAAGGCCUUCGGGUUGUAAAGCACUUUUGUCCGGAAAGAAAUCCUUGGCCCUAAUACGGUCGGGGGAUGACGGUACCGGAAGAAUAAGCACCGGCUAACUACGUG